AAGGAGGAUGUGAGAGUUAGCAUUCCUGCCUGAUACCAUCUUCCUAGAUUUAGUCUGCCAUGUUUAUGUGCUUGCUGAACUUCCGGACUGUUCUGCUGGCCUCAACAGGCAGAACAUCAUU
rfam:Triticum aestivum genome assembly, contig: Triticum_aestivum_CS42_TGACv1_scaffold_049404_1BS